rnacentral:rRNA from 1 species
AUAUCCAAUAGCUGAGGAAAAGAAACCAACAGGGAUUGCCUCAGUAACGGCGAGUGAAGCGGCAACAGCUCAAAUUUGAAAUCUGGCCUCUUGGGGUCCGAGUUGUAAUUUGUAGAGGAUGUUUCGGGUACCGCCUCGGUUUAAAUUUCUUGGAACAGAAUGUCAAAGAGGGUGAGAAUCCCGUCUUGGACCGGCGGUAGGGCCUAUGUGAAACUCCUUCGACGAGUCGAGUUGUUUGGGAAUGCAGCUCAAAAUGGGUGGUAAAUUUCAUCUAAAGCUAAAUAUUGGCCAGAGACCGAUAGCGCACAAGUAGAGUGAUCGAAAGAUGAAAAGCACUUUGAAAAGAGAGUUAAACAGUAUGUGAAAUUGUUGAAAGGGAAGCGCUUGCAACCAGACUUGAGCGCGGCGGUUCCCCCUUGCUUCUGCUUGGGUUACUCCGCCGUGUCCAGGCCAACAUCGGUUCUGGGGGUCGGUCAAAGGCUCUGGGAAUGUAUCUACCCACGGGUAGACUUAUAGACCAGGGUGUCAUGCGACCUCCCGGGACCGAGGAACGCGCUUCGGCUCGGAUGUUGGCGUAAUGGUUGUCAGCGACCCGUCUUG